UACAGAGGGGGCAAGCGUUGUUCGGAAUUACUGGGCGUAAAGGGCGCGUAGGCGGCCUGUUAAGUCGAACGUGAAAUCCCCGGGCUCAACCCGGGAACUGCGUCCGAUACUGGUGGGCUUGAAUCCGGGAGAGGGAUGUGGAAUUCCAGGUGUAGCGGUGAAAUGCGUAGAUAUCUGGAGGAACACCGGUGGCGAAGGCGGCAUCCUGGACCGGUAUUGACGCUGAGGCGCGAAAGCUAGGGGAGCAAACGGG
rnacentral:rRNA from 1 species